rnacentral:rRNA from 1 species
AACGAACGCUGGCGGCAUGCUUAACACAUGCAAGUCGAACGGAAACACCCUGCUUUUUUGUGGUGCUCGGGUGGCGAACGGGUAAGUAACCCGUAAGUAACCUGCCCUUGACUUUGGGAUAACUUCAGGUAACUUGGUCUAAUACCGGAUCGGAGCUCCUGCUGCAUGGUGGGGGUUGGAAAGUUUCGGCUGUUGGGGUUGGACUCGCGGCUGAUCAGCUUGUUGGUGGGGUAGUGGCUUACCAAGGCAGUGACGGGUACCCAGCCUGGGAGGGUGACCGGGCACAGUGGGACUGAGAUAGGGACCAGACUCCUACGGGAGGCAGCGGUGGGGAAUAUGAUACAAUGAGAGGAAGCGUGAGGCAGAAACGCCGCGGGCGGGAUGACGGUCUUGGGGUUACGAACCGCUUUCGCCUGUGACCGAGCGGGAAUGACGGUAACGGGUAAAUAAGCACCGGCUAACUACGUG